rnacentral:rRNA from 1 species
AGCGAACGCUGGCGGCAGGCCUAACACAUGCAAGUCGAACGAACCUUUCGGGGUUAGUGGCGGACGGGUGAGUAACACGUGGGAACGUGCCUUUAGGUUCGGAAUAACUCAGGGAAACUUGUGCUAAUACCGAAUGUGCCCUUCGGGGGAAAGAUCUAUCGCCUUUAGAGCGGCCCGCGUCUGAUUAGCUAGUUGGUUGAGGUAAUGGCUCACCAAGGCGACGAUCAGUAGCUGGUAUGAGAGGAUGAUCAGCCACAUUGGGACUGAGACACGGCCCAAAAUCCUACGGGAGGCAGCAGUGGGGAAUCUUGCGCAAUGGGCGAAAGCCUGACGCAGCCAUGCCGCGUGAAUGAUGAAGGUCUUAGGAUUGUAAAAUUCUUUCACCGGGGACGAUAAUGACGGUACCCGGAGAAGAAGCCCCGGCUAACUUCGUG